GAUGAACGCUAGCUACAGGCUUAACACAUGCAAGUCGAGGGGCAGCAUGGUCUUAGCUUGCUAAGGCCGAUGGCGACCGGCGCACGGGUGAGUAACACGUAUCCAACCUGCCGUCUACUCUUGGACAGCCUUCUGAAAGGAAGAUUAAUACAAGAUGGCAUCAUGAGUUCACAUGUUCACAUGAUUAAAGGUAUUCCGGUAGACGAUGGGGAUGCGUUCCAUUAGAUAGUAGGCGGGGUAACGGCCCACCUAGUCUUCGAUGGAUAGGGGUUCUGAGAGGAAGGUCCCCCACAAUGGAACUGAGACACGGACCAAACUCCUACGGGAGGCAGCAGUGAGGAAUAUUGGUCAAUGGACGAGAGCCUGAACCAGCCAAGUAGCGUGAAGGAUGACUGCCCUAUGGAUUGUAAACUUCUUUGAUAAAGGAAUAAAGUCGGGUAUGUAUACCCGUUUGCAUUUACUUUAUGAAUAAGGAUCGGCUAACUCCGUG
rnacentral:rRNA from 1 species